UGGGGGAUUUUGCACAAUGGGCGCAAGCCUGAUGCAGCGACGCCGCGUGAGGGAUGAAGGCCUUCGGGUUGUAAACCUCUUUCGCUGGGUUGAAAGGCCAGGCUUUGGGUGUGGUUGAUUUGAACUGGUAAAGAAGUACCGGCUAACUACGUGCCAGCAGCAGCGGUAAUACGUAGGGUACUAGCGUUGUCCGGAUUUAUUGGGCGUAAAGGGCUUGUAGGUGGUUUGUCGCGUCUGUCGUGAAAUCCUGUGGCUUAACCACGGGCUUGCGGCGGGUACCGGCAGGCUUGAGUGCGGUAGGGUAGACUGGAAUUCCUCGUGUAGCGGUGGAAUGCGCAGCUAUCAGGAGGAACACCGGUGGCGAAGGCGGGUCUCUGGGCCGUUACUGACACUGAGGAGCGAAAGCGUGGGGAGCGAACAGG
rnacentral:rRNA from 1 species